UUGAACGCUGGCGGCAUGCCUUACACAUGCCAGUCGAACGGCAGCACGGGUGCUUGCCCCUGGUGGCGAGUGGCGAACGGGUGAGUAAUACAUCGGAACAUGUCCUGUAGUGGGGGAUAGCCCGGCGAAAGCCGGAUUAAUACCGCAUACGAUCUACGGAUGAAAGCGGGGGACCUUCGGGCCUCGCGCUAUAGGGUUGGCCGAUGGCUGAUUAGCUAGUUGGUGGGGUAAAGGCCUACCAAGGCGACGAUCAGUAGCUGGUCUGAGAGGACGACCAGCCACACUGGGACUGAGACACGGCCCAGACUCCUACGGGAGGCAGCAGUGGGGAAUUUUGGACAAUGGGCGAAAGCCUGAUCCAGCAAUGCCGCGUGUGUGAAGAAGGCCUUCGGGUUGUAAAGCACUUUUGUCCGGAAAGAAAUCCUUGGCUCUAAUACAGUCGGGGGAUGACGGUACCGGAAGAAUAAGCACCGGCUAACUACGUG
rnacentral:rRNA from 1 species